CCCUUAGAUGUUCUGGGCCGCACGCGCGCUACACUGAUGCAUUCAACGAGUUUCCUUGGCCGAGAGGCCUGGGCAAUCUUUUGAAUGUGCAUCGUGAUAGGGAUAGAUUAUUGCAAUUAUUAAUCUUGAACGAGGAAUUCCUAGUAAACGCAAGUCAUCAGCUUGCAUUGAUUACGUCCCUGCCCUUUGUACACACCGCCCGUCGCACCUACCGAUUGAAUGGUCCGGUGAAAUCUCGGGACGGCGGCUUGGUCGCUUGCGUCCGACUGCUGAAACUUGAUUAAACCAUAUCAUUUAGAGGAAGGUGAAGUCGUANCA
rnacentral:rRNA from 1 species